AUUUGAUAAUUUUCAGAUUUUUAUAAUGUGUUUUCAAUAUUUCAUGUAGUAGUAUAUAAAUAUAUACCGCUUAAAAUCGGGUAGAUUCCGACUAAGCAUUCUACGCGCUAGGCAGAAUGUCACCGUCCGCUUAUCGUCUAUCGCUUCCUUGGACACUGCUAUUUAUUAAACAAGUAUAUUAGCAAAAAUAUAUAGGAAUUCAUAAAAAAA
rnacentral:sRNA from 1 species